rnacentral:ncRNA from 1 species
CCAGCACCUCGGAAGAGAACCUGAAUAUCGAGAAGGGCGAAGUGCAGCAACCGCAGCGCUGAUAGCUGCACCGCAGUAACGAAAAAGCCCCGGCCAAUGCCGGGGCUUUUUCAUGGGCGAGGUGAUCGCGCCG